rnacentral:rRNA from 1 species
AGUGAACGCUGGCGGUAGGCCUAACACAUGCAAGUCGAACGGCAGCACAGGAGAGCUUGCUCUCUGGGUGGCGAGUGGCGGACGGGUGAGGAAUACAUCGGAAUUUACUCUGUCGUGGGGGAUAACGUAGGGAAACUUAGGCUAAUACCGCAUACGACCUACGGGUGAAAGCAGGGGACCUUCGGGCCUUGCGCGAUUGAAUGAGCCGAUGUCGGAUUAGCUAGUUGGCGGGGUAAAGGCCCACCAAGGCGACGAUCCGUAGCUGGUCUGAGAGGAUGAUCAGCCACACUGGAACUGAGACACGGUCCAGACUCCUACGGGAGGCAGCAGUGGGGAAUAUUGGACAAUGGGCGCAAGCCUGAUCCAGCCAUACCGCGUGGGUGAAGAAGGCCUUCGGGUUGUAAAGCCCUUUUGUUGGGAAAGAAAUCCAGCUGGCUAAUACCCGGUUGGGAUGACGGUACCCAAAGAAUAAGCACCGGCUAACUUCGUGCCAGCAGCCGCCGUAA